rnacentral:rRNA from 1 species
UCAAGCUAUAAAGAGCGUAGGGAGAAUGACUUGGCAUCAGGAGCCGAAGAAGGACGUGACAAGCUGCGAAAAGCUGCGGUUAGGAGCAAAUAUCCAUAGACCCGCAGAUAUCCGAAUGGGGAAACCCGGUACGGCAAUACCGUAUCACUGCAUGGUAAAUACAUAGCCAUGUGGAGGAAACCCUCUGAACUGAAACAUCUAAGUAGGAGGAGGAAGAGAAAGAAACAUCGAUUUCCUAAGUAGCGGCGAGCGAAAGGGAAAGAGGCCAAACCAGAGAUAGCAAUAUCUUUGGGGUUGCGGACUGCAUAAUUGAUUUAACAUCUUUAGCAGAAGUGUAUGGGAAGACACACCAUAGUAGGUAAUAGUCCUGUAAGCGAAAGGGAUGUUAACAUGGCAGGAUCCAGAGUACCACCGGACACGAGGAACCCGGUGGGAAGCCGGGGGGACCACCCCCCAAGCCUAAAUACUACCUGAUGACCGAUAGUGAAAAGUACAGUGAUGGAAAGUUGAAAAGAACCCCGGAAGGGGAGUGAAAAAGAAUCUGAAACCCUAUGUUUACAAGCUGCUAGAGCACCUUAUGAGUGCAAUAGCGUACUUUUUGUAGAACGGUCCGGCGAGUGUAUGUUGCAAGCGAGGUUAAGGUGUUAAGCACUGAAGCCGAAGGGAGACCGAGUGUGAAUAGCGCGUACAGUUUGCAGUAUACGACCCGAAACCGGGUGACCUAACCAUGGACAGGUUGAAGUGGAAGUAAAAUUCCAUGGAGGACCGAACCCACGUCUGUUGAAAAAGGCGGGGAUGAGCUGUGGUUAGCGGUGAAAUUCCAAUCGAACUCGGAUAUAGCUGGUUCUCAUCGAAAUAGCUUUAGGGCUAGCCUCAGGAUAGUUUAGCGGAGGUAAAGCACUGAAUGGGCUAGGGGGCUUCACGGCUUACCGAACCCUAUCAAACUCUGAAUGCCGCAUAAAUGUUUCCUGGGAGUCAGACUGCGUGAGAUAAGUUUCGUAGUCAAAAGGGAAAGAGCCCAGACCUACAGCUAAGGUCCCUAAAUGAAUUUAAGUGGAAAAGGAUGUGCAGUUGCGUAGACAACUAGGACGUUGGCUUAGAAGCAGCCACUCAUUUAAAGAGUGCGUAAUAGCUCACUAGUCGAGUGAUUGUGCGCCGAAAAUGUAACGGGGCUAAAAUUCAUACCGAAGCUUAGGAAUGAUAGUAAUAUUGUUGGUAGAUGAGCGUUGUGUAAGCCUGAGAAGCUACACCGAAAGGAGUAGUGGAGGUAUCACAAGUGAGAAUGCCGGAAUGAGUAGCGAGAAUUAUGUGAGAAUCAUAAUGGUCGAAAAUCUAAGGUUUCUUGAGGAAGGUUCGUCCGCUCAAGGUAAGCCGGGAGCUAAGGCGAGGCCGAGAGGCGUAGUCGAUGCACAUACGGUAAAGAUUCCGUAGCCACCGAAGUCGUUAAAUACAGGGACACAGGAACAUAGCCUAACCCCACCGUUGGUUGAGUGGGGCGUAAGGGAGCGAAAAUUAGUAGCGAAGUAGGUGAUUGUACACUGGCGAGAAAAGCUGUAUGAAUUGAUAAGGUGCCCGUACCGCAAACCGACACAGGUAGAUGAGGAGAGAAUCCUAAGACCAGCGGGAGAAGUGUUGUUAAGGAACUCGGCAAAAUGACCCCGUAACUUCGGGAUAAGGGGAGCCUACGCGAGUAGGCCGCAGAGAAUAGUCUCAAGCGACUGUUUAGCAAAAACACAGGUCUAUGCUAAAUCGAAAGAUGAUGUAUAUGGGCUGACGCCUGCCCGGUGCUGGAAGGUUAAGGGGAAGUGUUAGAGUAAUCGAAGCACUGAACUUAAGCCCCAGUAAACGGCGGCCGUAACUAUAACGGUCCUAAGGUAGCGAAAUUCCUUGUC